rnacentral:rRNA from 1 species
UUAGCGGCGGACGGGUGAGUAACGCGUGGGAACGUGCCCUUUUCUACGGAAUAGCCUCGGGAAACUGAGAGUAAUACCGUAUACGCCCUUUUGGGGAAAGAUUUAUCGGAGAAGGAUCGGCCCGCGUUGGAUUAGGUAGUUGGUGGGGUAAUGGCCUACCAAGCCGACGAUCCAUAGCUGGUUUGAGAGGAUGAUCAGCCACACUGGGACUGAGACACGGCCCAG